rnacentral:rRNA from 1 species
CAAUAGCGUAUAUUAAAGUUGUUGCGGUUAAAAAGCUCGUAGUUGGAUUUCUGCUGAGGAUGACCGGUCCGCCCUCCGGGUGAGUAUCUGGCUCAGCCUUGGCAUCUUCCUGAAGAACGUAACUGCACUUGACUGUGUGGUGCGGUAUUUAGGACAUUUACUUUGAGGAAAUUAGAGUGUUUCAAGCAAGCGCACGCCUUGAAUACAUUAGCAUGGAAUAAUAAGAUAGGACCUCGGUUCUAUUUUGUUGGUUUCUAGAGCUGAGGUAAUGAUUGAUAGGGAUAGUUGGGGGCAUUCGUAUUUAACUGUCAGAGGUGAAAUUCUUGGGUUUGUUAAAGACGGACUACUGCGAAAGCAUUUGCCAAGGAUGUUUUCAUUGA